AGAGCGAACGCUGGCGGCAGGCCUAACACAUGCAAGUCGAACGGACCCUUCGGGGUUAGUGGCGGACGGGUGAGUAACACGUGGGAACGUGCCUUUUGGUUCGGAAUAGCUCCUGGAAACGGGUGGUAAUGCCGAAUGUGCCCUUCGGGGGAAAGAUUUAUCGCCAUUAGAGCGGCCCGCGUCUGAUUAGCUAGUUGGUGAGGUAAAGGCUCACCAAGGCUACGAUCAGUAGCUGGUCUGAGAGGAUGACCAGCCACAUUGGGACUGAGACACGGCCCAAACUCCUACGGGAGGCAGCAGUGGGGAAUCUUGCGCAAUGGGCGAAAGCCUGACGCAGCCAUGCCGCGUGAAUGAUGAAGGUCUUAGGAUUGUAAAAUUCUUUCACCGGGGACGAUAAUGACGGUACCCGGAGAAGAAGCCCCGCUAACUUCGUGCCAGCAGCCGC
rnacentral:rRNA from 1 species